ACACACCAUAGCUGCUCCCGUAAGAGUUCAGAGGUCUAUUGGGAUGUUGGCUCGGCUGCUGUGGUAGCACAAGUCCCAGACUGCUUUCUGGGACAAACUUCAAGAAGCUGGGCUGGAAGAAAAAAACACGGAAGGGGAAAUAUGAUACGCGAGGUUUACGGAAUGACUAAAGACCACCUGGAGGCCUCUUCACCAAUCGAUACCAACCUCAUGGUUGACGUUAUCUCCUAAGGAGGGGAGUUGAGAUUGAUUGUUGUUAAGCACUUUGCAGGAUGGAAAGAGGAUGAGGACGAAUCAUAAAACGCCCACGCACACCUACCCAUCCCUUUUCAGCCGCAACAGAGUGCAGCCAAUCGAUAGAAGCAGGAUCAGCAAAAACAAAUAAAUAAAUAAUAUUAAAGGAGUAAAUAUGUGAAUAAACAGGGGGGCAGCAGUUAAGAAAACAAGAAAUUGUAUCACAAAUUACUCGAAUCUAUGACAGUAAAAUGCUAAAAUCUUGUGUUUUUUAUAUUCCUUCCAAGCCAAAUAAAUAAACAUAAAAAAUUUGUUAUUAAUGAGGUCAGGUGAAUUUUAAUUGAUCCCUGUAAGACUGAUUUUGCAUUUUUAUGAGUAUUAUGUAACCAGGGGAGUCUGCGUUGUGCGAGACAAAGAGACUAGAACCACAGAUGUCUUUAGAGCUAACCUCUGUGUAUUCCUGACAUGAGAGAAAGGGAAAGGCAG
ensembl:lncRNA